UACGUAGGGUGCAAGCGUUAAUCGGAAUUACUGGGCGUAAAGCGUGCGCAGGCGGUUAUGUAAGACAGGCGUGAAAGCCCCGGGCUCAACCUGGGAGGUGCGCUUGAUACUCGAGGGCUUGAGUGCGGGAGAGGAGAGUGGAAUUCCCAGUGUAGAGGUGAAAUUCGUAGAUAUCAGGAGGAACACCUGUGGUGUAGGCGGCUUUCUGGACCAUAGCUGACGCUGAGACACGAAAGCGUGGGUAGCAAACAGG
rnacentral:rRNA from 1 species